rfam:Asian citrus Psyllid, Diaphorina citri - Florida Strain, whole genome shotgun sequence.
GCGAUGAGGCGGAUACCACGGUGAAUACACCAGUUCCCAAUGGAUCACUCAAGUUAAGCAACGUUCUGUGUGUUUGAUGUCCGGAUGGGUGACCAUUUGGACAAUCACGUACUAAUGGCU